rnacentral:rRNA from 1 species
UGGGGAAUAUUGCGCAAUGGGCGAAAGCCUGACGCAGCAACGCCGCGUGCGGGAUGACGGCCUUCGGGUUGUAAACCGCUUUCAGCAGGGACGAAACUGACGGUACCUGCAGAAGAAGCACCGGCUAACUACGUGCCAGCAGCCGCGGUGAUACGUAGGGUGCGAGCGUUGUCCGGAAUUAUUGGGCGUAAAGAGCUCGUAGGCGGUCUGUCACGUCGGAAGUGAAAACUCGGGGCUUAACCCCGAGCCUGCUUUCGAUACGGGCAGACUUGAGGAAUGUAGGGGAGAACGGAAUUCCUGGUGGAGCGGUGGAAUGCGCAGAUAUCAGGAGGAACACCAGUGGCGAAGGCGGUUCUCUGGACAUUAACUGACGCUGAGGAGCGAAAGCGUGGGGAGCAAACA